rnacentral:rRNA from 1 species
CGAGCGCAACCUUAUCCUCAGUUACCAGCACUUCGGGUGGGACUUUGGGGAGACUGCCGGUGAUAAACCGGAGGAAGGUGGGGACGACGUCAAGUCAUCAUGGCCCUUAUGGCUAGGGCUACACACGUGCUACAAUGGUAUACAAACGGAGCAACCGCGAGGUGGAGCAAUCUGAAAAGUUCGUAGUCCGGAUUGGAGUCUGCAACUCGACUCCAUGAAGUCGGAAUCGCUAGUAAUCGUGAAUCAGAAUGUCACGGUGAAUACGUUCCCGGGCC